AACUGCAGACCACCUUGGUCCUGUGGGAUGUUGCGUUUGGGAGAGUCUCAUUGGCAGCUGGAGGGCCAGUCAAAGUCCAACUUGACAGUGGCCACUGCCCACAGAGGGUGAUAGGCCCGUAAGGCGGCCGUCCGCUGCUGCUGACUCCUCCCCCAGAGUCGGGUUGCUUGGGAGUGCAACCCAAAGUGCGAGGUAAACUGCUUGUAAGGCUAAAUAUCACCCCAAGACCGAUAGCAAACAAGUACCGUGAGGGAAGAUUGAAAAGAACUUUGAAGAGAGAGUUCAAUAGUACGUGAAACUGUGUGGUGGUAAACGGAGGGGCUCUUGAAGCUCCUGCAAGGGACUCAGCCUUGGAGCUGGGCAGCAGGUGCACGGUGGAUCAGCAAUGGCCCUGUGCACCGCAUUCUGUCUCCGGCUUUCGGGUGCAUUUUCCAUGCAGGUUACGGCAGGAACGGUUGGCUGUGUGUGUGGACCAAAGGCCUUGGAUGAAGUUGCCACCACUCCGUGUGGUGGCAGCCCUGGGUGUUCUGGCUCCGACGCCGACUGGUACUGGAGGGAACUCAUAUAAUGAGUAAUGCUUUGUUGCGGUUCCCAUCUCUCUGCCGAGUAGGUCAGUGGCCCCUCUGACCCGUCUUGAAACACGGACCAAGGAGUCUAACAUGUGUGCAAGCCAAUGGGCUGGCUAAACCCAGCGGCGCAGUGAAAGCAAAGAGUAGUAUGUCUGCUCGAGGGACGAUCCACAAGGCGCA
rnacentral:rRNA from 1 species